CCAAUAGCGUAUAUUAAAGUUGUUGCAGUUAAAAAGCUCGUAGUUGAAUUUCGGGAUUGGCGCAUCGGUCGUGCCUCACGGGGUAUGAACUGGUGCAGUCAAUUUCUCACCUUCUGGAGAACCGCGAUGUCCUUAAUUGGAUGCCGCGGGGAACCAGGACCUUUACUUUGAAAAAAUUAGAGUGUUUAAAGCAGGCAUUUUUGCUUGAAUAAAUUAGCAUGGAAUAAUAAAAUAGGACGGCAUGGUUCUAUUUUGUUGGUUUCUAGGACCACCGUAAUGAUUAAUAGGGAUAGUUGGGGGCAUUAGUAUUCAAUUGUCAGAGGUGAAAUUCUUGGAUUUAUUGAAGACUAACUACUGCGAAAGCAUUUGCCAAGGAUGUUUUCAUUAAUCAAGAACGAAAGUUAGGGGAUCGAAGACGAUCAGAUACCGUCGUAGUCUUAACCAUAAACUAUGCCGACUAGGAAUCAGACGAUGUUAAUUUUUUAAUGACUCGUUUGGCACCUUACG
rnacentral:rRNA from 1 species